rnacentral:rRNA from 1 species
AUACGGAGGGUGCGAGCGUUAAUCGGAAUUACUGGGCGUAAAGCGCGCGCAGGCGGCUGGGUCAGUCGGAUGUGAAAGCCCCGGGCUUAACCUGGGAAUUGCAUUCGAUACUGCCCGGCUAGAGUAUGGGAGAGGGAAGUGGAAUUUCCGGUGUAGAGGUGAAAUGCGUAGAUAUCGGAAGGAACACCAGUGGCGAAGGCGGCUUCCUGGCCCAAUACUGACGCUCAGGUGCGAAAGCGUGGGGAGCGAACAGGAUUAGAAACCCCGGUAGUCC